rnacentral:rRNA from 1 species
GAUGAACGCUGGCGGCGUGCCUAAUACAUGCAAGUCGAGCGAACAGAUAAGGAGCUUGCUCCUUUGACGUUAGCGGCGGACGGGUGAGUAACACGUGGGUAACCUACCUAUAAGACUGGGAUAACUUCGGGAAACCGGAGCUAAUACCGGAUAACAUUUGGAACCGCAUGGUUCUAAAGUGAAAGAUGGUUUUGCUAUCACUUAUAGAUGGACCCGCGCCGUAUUAGCUAGUUGGUAAGGUAACGGCUUACCAAGGCGACGAUACGUAGCAGACCUGAGAGGGUGAUCGGCCACACUGGAACUGAGACACGGUCCAGACUCCUACGGGAGGCAGCAGUAGGGAAUCUUCCGCAAUGGGCGAAAGCCUGACGGAGCAACGCCGCGUGAGUGAUGAAGGUCUUCGGAUCGUAAAACUCUGUUGUUAGGGAAGAACAAAUUUGUUAGUAACUGAACAAGUCUUGACGGUACCUAACCAGAAAGCCACGGCUAACUACGUGCCAGCCGCCGCCGUAA